rnacentral:rRNA from 1 species
ACACUCCUACGGGAGGCAGCAGUGGGGAAUAUUGGACAAUGGGCGCAAGCCUGAUCCAGCCAUGCCGCGUGAGUGAUGAAGGCCCUAGGGUUGUAAAGCUCUUUCACCGGUGAAGAUAAUGACGGUAACCGGAGAAGAAGCCCCGGCUAACUUCGUGCCAGCAGCCGCGGUAAUACGAAGGGGGCUAGCGUUGUUCGGAUUUACUGGGCGUAAAGCGCACGUAGGUGGACUAUUAAGUCAGGGGUGAAAUCCCGGGGCUCAACCCCGGAACUGCCUUUGAUACUGGUAGUCUUGAGUUCGAGAGAGGGGAGUGGAAUUCCGAGUGUAGAGGUGAAAUUCGUAGAUAUUCGGAGGAACACCAGUGGCGAAGGCGGCUCACUGGCUCGAUACUGACGCUGAGGUGCGAAAGCGUGGGGAGCAAACAGGAUUAGAUACCCCGGUAGUCCC